UUAUUCCGAUUGGGGUGUCCUGUACGGCAGGGCUGAGAUUAUACCCAUCGAACCUGAUACAGCUCAUACUGUCGCAGGGAACUCGGAGAGCGCCUUUG
rnacentral:ncRNA from 2 species